AGAGUUUGAUCCUGGCUCAGGAUGAACGCUGGCGGUAUGCCUAACACAUGCAAGUCGAACGGACCUUUCGGGGUUAGUGGCGGACGGGUGAGUAACGCGUGAGAAUCUGCCUUCAGGAUGGGGACAACAAUUGGAAACGAUUGCUAAUACCCGAUAUGACGAAAGUUGAAAGAUUUAUCGCCUGGAGAUGAGCUCGCGUCAGAUUAGCUAGAUGGUGUGGUAAAGGCGCACCAUGGCGACGAUCUGUAGCUGGUCUGAGAGGAUGAGCAGCCACACUGGGACUGAGACACGGCCCAGACUCCUACGGGAGGCAGCAGUGGGGAAUUUUCCGCAAUGGGCGCAAGCCUGACGGAGCAAUACCGCGUGAGGGAGGAAGGCUCUUGGGUCGUAAACCUCUUUUCUCAGGGAAGAACAAAAUGACGGUACCUGAGAAUAGCUCGAUCCCAC
rnacentral:rRNA from 1 species